UACGAAGGGAGCUAGCGUUGUUCGGAAUACUGGGCGUAAAGCGCAUGCAGGCGGAUCGUUAAGUCGGGGGUGAAAUCCCGAGGCUCAACCUCGGAACUGCCUUCGAUACUGGCGAUCUUGAGUCCGGGAGAGGUGAGUGGAACUGCGAGUGUAGAGGUGAAAUUCGUAGAUAUUCGCAAGAACACCAGUGGCGAAGGCGGCUCACUGGCCCGGUACUGACGCUGAGAUGCGAAAGCGUGGGGAGCAAACAGG
rnacentral:rRNA from 1 species